rnacentral:rRNA from 1 species
UACGGAGGGAGCUAGCGUUGUUCGGAAAUACUGGGCGUAAAGCGCACGUUGGCGGCGCAGCAAGUCAGGGGUGAAAUCCCGGGGCUCAACCCCGGAACUGCCUCUGAAACUGCAGUGCUAGAAUCUUGGAGAGGCGAGUGGAAUUCCGAGUGUAGAGGUGAAAUUCGUAGAUAUUCGGAAGAACACCAGUGGCGAAGGCGACUCGCUGGACAAGUAUUGACGCUGAGGUGCGAAAGCGUGGGGAGCAAACAGG